rnacentral:rRNA from 1 species
UCAGACGAUGCGUCAUGCAUAUCAAUAAGCGGAGGAAAAGAAACUAACAAGGAUUCCCCUAGUAACGGCGAGUGAAGCGGGAAGAGCUCAAAUUUGAAAUCUUAAAGGGUUUCCCUUUACGAAUUGUAGUUUAAAGAAGUGUUUUCUGUUGAGGUUUUGGUAAAAGUUCUUUGGAAUAGGACAUCAUAGAGGGUGAGAAUCCCGUAUUUGACCUUUACUUUCAACUUUGUGAUACACUUUCAAAGAGUCGGAUUGUUUGGGAAUGCAGUCCAAAAUGGGUGGUAAAUUUCAUCUAAAGCUAAAUAUUGGCGAGAGACCGAUAGCGAACAAGUACCGUGAGGGAAAGAUGAAAAGAACUUUGAAAAGAGAGUUAAACAGUACGUGAAAUUGUCAAAAGGGAAGCGUUUGACACCAGUGUUGUUUUUCUGAAAAUCAAUUAAAGAACUGUUUAUGCUAAGUUGUUUAGACUUUAUCAGCUAACUGUUUAGUUUUGAGCUUUUCUUUAAUGCACUUUUCAGUUAACAAGUCAACAUCAAUUUCUUUUGCUGUAAAAAAGCUUGAGGAAGGUGGCUUGAGAUUCGUCUUAAGUGUUUAUAGCCUCUUGCCUAUGCAGUCGGAGAGAUUGAGGUCUGCAGCGUAGAUCCUUCGGGGCUAAGUGCAUUUGUGCUAAGUUAUAGCAUUUUAUAGACAACUUGUUGACUAUGAUUUGUCUUGUAGCUUACUCGCUUAUGUUAUUUUACCUACGCUUAGGAUGUUGAAUCUGUGCGAGACUAC